GACGAACGCUGGCGGCGUGGAUUAGGCAUGCAAGUCGAACGGUAUAAACCUUUCGGGGUUUAGAGAGUGGCGAACGGGUGAGUAACACGUAGGUAAUCUACCCUCAAAACGGGGACAACCCAGGGAAACUUGGGCUAAUACCGGAUGCGUGCAAGCAAUGUUUUGGCUGUUAAUGCUAUUCACGGAAGUGAGUAGUGUUAAUGGUUGAGAGCAUUAUUUGCAUAAAAGGUGGCAUAUGCUGCCGUUUGAGGAUGAGCCUGCGUCCUAUUAGUUAGUUGGUGAGGUAAUGGCUUACCAAGGCCGAUGAUAGGUAGGCGGCCUUAACGGGUGGUCGCCCACACUGGGAUUGAGAGACGGCCCAGACUCCUACGGGAGGCAGCAGUCGAGAAUAGUCUACAAUGGACGGAAGUCUGAUAGUGCGACGCCGCGUGAACGAAGAAUCCCUUCGGGGUGUAAAGUUCUUUUAUACGUGAGCAGUGCCCUUUAUAUGAAUAGUAUAGAGGGAGGGAUUUAAGCGU
rnacentral:rRNA from 1 species